ensembl:lncRNA
AGAUGUAAUGCUUGAUUUUAUGGUCAAGUUGCAAUAGAGGCUUUAUGGCACUUUUCCCCACUGUUUUUAUGCAUUACUGUUGUACUGAAAUCUUGUUAUAUAAAAACUGUCCAAAGACUUGCAGAAGAUGAACAGGAAAAAGAGAAAACAAUUGAAUUUCUAGGUAUAAGUAAUUCUAGAAAACAAACCAGAUGAUUCCAAUUACACCUGAAACUUUGGGUGAAAGGGACUUCAAAACUUCCAGGUUAAACGUACAGUACUCACCCCACAGAAAUUAGAUUGCACAGAGCAGGUCUUAGAAGAUGAGACGGUACAGCUGGCAGGAUGAAAUGAGAGCAGCUGGAAGUGGAAGACCUGAUUUCUACAUAUUAAAACAUUUGACAUUUGGUAUCUGAAGGGAAUGCUGUUUGUUUAGAGCUAAUAUAUAACUCGCCACUGAUGACAACUUGUAAUGACAGCUUUUAUUAUGGUCUGGUUAAUCCUCAAAUUCAGCCUUGUCCUUUUAGACCAUCUGCCACCAAAUUUUUGCUGUUGUUGUUAAGUGUCAUGCACUUGAGAUGUUGUAGCCAUGCAAAUACGGAGCAUGUGUCCUGGUGCCUCUGCUCACAAGGAGCAGACCAAGAGAUAUGAGUGCAGAUUAUCAAUGGGCAAGCAGAUGUUUUACCACAGAUCACCCAGCAUUCCCCUUAGGAUGACACUCGAUGGAUGCUGGCUUGUCUGCAGAUCUGGUUGAAGUAGUUUUUCUUUUCCACAUUUCCAGGCAUGAGAAAAUGCCACUUUUUUUCCCUCUGAGUGAAUGUGGCCUGUUUCUGCCAGAGAAAUUACAAGCAUCUCUCUACAACAUCAAACACAUGCCAGCAGCAACGAUUCCUCCAAAGCCUGCGGUGAUAACUAGGCAAAGUCAUGUAUAUUCAUCACAGGCACAUCUGGUCAGUAUGGAUGUGAUGUUACUGUUUCUGCCACGGUCCUCACGAUGUCUGAUGUCACUCAUUUUUGGUAUGU